GGCCCAGCCACAGCGCAUCGGCAUCGGCGUCGCCGGUCAAAAUCCCCAACUUCAUCGCCGCUUUGCCGCCGGCAGGUCACGUCUUCCCCCUCGGCGUCGACGGGCCAACCACCGCGAGGCGAAGGAUGGCGCGGGUCGAUCCAGAUCCGGAGCAGAAGCGGGCGCGCGGCUGCGGCGUACGACUACGAGGCGACGCGCCGUAGGCGGAGUACUGCUCCGAUGUCCUCGUCCCGCCGAGUUGAGCGAGGAUUUGGAGAUAAGCGACAAGAUCAUGGAGCGCAGCAUCAGUGUCAUCAUUCCUCAUUAGAACCUCAGCGACCUCUGCUGGUGUCACUGUCACCUCCUUGAUCAGUUUCUCAAUCUCUGGAUAUGUGUCAUGGUAGUCGAUGGAGUGGUAGUUGUUGGCAAGGAUUCGGAAAGACUCUUGGGUGCAAUACCCCAUGUGGAUGUGCAUGUCCAUCCUUCCAGGCCGCAAUAGUGCUGAGUCGAGCCGCUCCUUGUAAUUGGUUGUGAAGACAAUGAUCCUUUCUUCCCCACUUGUUGACCACAGGCCAUCAACAAAGUUAAGCAGGCCAGACAGUGUUACCUGUUCAGAAUAUCCAAAUUCUCAUCAGGACAUGUGAGGAAGCGUUGGAAUCAAAAUGAGAUGAGAUAUGUGCCCAAUCGAUGGUGCAGUCAAUAUCUUCAACAACGAGAAUGGACCGGUUGCUCAUGCCAACAAGAAGCCUCCUAAGGUCUGAGUUGGAAUUGACCUCAGUUAGCUCGAGAUCAUAUAUGUCAAACCUGAGAUGGUUGGCCAUGGCUGCAAUCAGGCUGGACUUGCCGGUCCCAGGUGGACCAUACAGCAGGUACCCCCGCUUCCAUGCCUUGCCGAUCUUCUUAUAGUAAUCCUUUCUCUUGAUGAACCUGUUAAGGUCAUCGAUGAUGGACUGCUUCAGCUUCUGGUCCAUGGCAAGUGUCUCAAAUGUAGAUGGGUGGUGGAGGUCAAUUGGGGACCACUCGCUCGAGUACUCAGUCAUGUAUAUCCUGAGAGUUCUCUCUUGAGCUUUUAUGUCCUUGGCUGUGGCCAAAAUGAACGGGAAGUAUGAUUUGAGGGCUUUCUCCUUGUGAUUCUUGUGGAAGCUAACCUCGAAGGACACCUCAUUCGGACUGCCACUGCCGUUGCUGGAGUCACUUGAGUUGUCUUGGCAGAUGAGGCACCAUUUGAAUUCCGUGCCUUCAUAAACAUCUAGCAUCUCCUCUCCCUCCGCCAUGCUGAUCAUCAUCUUGUCAUUCUCGUCCAUGCUGCUGACCCGCAGACGCUGCUGCAGAUCGGUGUUGAUGCGUGUUGCGAGGUAGCCGAAGCCGGAGAUGAGCAUCUGGCGCACCUCGUACGGCACCACCUCAUUCACCACGCUGCGCACCAGCAUCAGAGAUGCCGCGACAGAUGCUGCGGUGGUGAGGGCCUUCUUGUAGGACUCGAAGGCCUUGUCGUAGGACGCCAUGAGUGCUGUGCGCCGCAAGUUUCCUCCUGCAACUGGAAGUGGAAGAAGGAAGCUUCUGCCGGCAACGCCACGCCGUCCCAGGGUCAUCGCUCCCGGCCGUUUAUCCCCACUUGCACCCAUGGACGGCACGCGGUGACCGAAACGAGGUCAUGUGCUGGAUCGUGUCCCGUGGCGAGGAAGACUCGUCGAGGUGCGAUCAGCAGACCAGACCGCCGGAUCAGAUCUGAGCAGGGGCGGCAGAUCGGAAGCAGCCUACGACGAGAUGCAGGCUGGAAAGCGGCCAGAUCAGAUGUUUGUCCGUGUCUUGCUCCCGAGUCCCGUGCCAAGCCUUGUGCAGUAGAUUGGCUUAGACCGCGAAGUCUAGUUUUCAAAAGGCGAAAUAGCAAGUAUCAAAUAGUCCAUCUAAGUCCUUCAACUUUUCAUAUUGGAUCAAAAUGAUCCUUAGGCUGAUGUGGCAUGCCAUAUAUUAAUGUCAUGUCAGUUUUUAGUUGUCCUUGGAUGAGUAAAUAUGUUUAUUAUGUCUCAUUUAACCCUUGUUACAUCCAAUUAUAAACAAUACUUUUAAGUGGAUUUGAUAGUAAUACAAGAAACCUAUGUUAAUGACUCA